AUGGUAGCGAGCAAGAUGGUGGCGAAGGAGGCGAUCCCGUUGCUGACGACGCACAGGAUGGGCCGGUUCGAGCUCUCCCACCGGGUGCGGGCCACCAAGGGCGGCCUCCUCAUCGCCGAGGCCACCGGCGUUUCCGCCACCGCGCAAGGGUACGCGGAGACCCCCGGCAUCUGGACGCAGCAGCAGGUCGACGCCUGGAAGCCCAUCGUCGACGCCGUCCACCGCAAGGGCGCUCUGUUUUUCUGUCAGCUUUGGCACGUCGGGAGGGUCUCCACCAACGAUUUCCAGCCGGACGGACAGGCGCCGAUAUCAAGCACUGACAAGCAGAUAAUGCCCGAUGCCGAGUCUGGCAUGGUCUAUUCCAAGCCCCGACAGCUUCAAACGGACGAGAUACCGCUGAUCGUCGACGACUUCAGACGCGCUGCCCGGAAUGCCAUCGAGGCGGGGUUCGACGGCGUGGAGAUCCACGGGGCACAUGGGUACCUAUUGGAGCAGUUCAUGAAAGACAGCUCUAACGAUCGCACCGACGAGUAUGGUGGCAGCCUCGAGAACCGAUGCCGCUUUGCGGUGGAAGUAAUUGAUGCUAUCGUCAAUGAAAUUGGUGCUGAUCGUGUAGGCAUCAGACAGAUACCCCACGGGCUCCUGCCCUUUAGGAAAGCAUUCAACGGCACUUUCAUUGCCGCUGGAGGAUAUGAUCGAGAGGAAGGCAACAAAGUGGUGGCGGACGGCUAUGCUGAUCUCGUUGCUUACGGGAGGAUCUUUCUGGCUAAUCCAGAUUUGCCAAAGAGAUUCGAGCUCGACUCACCAUUGAACAAGUACAACAGUAACACUUACUACACGCAAGAUCCUGUCAUUGGCUACACAAAUUAUCCUUUCCUUGAAGGCUCGAAUGCCGAGUAG
rnacentral:rRNA from 1 species